UAAUUCACAAUGGACGAAAGUCUGAUGGUGCAACGCCGCGUGGAGGAUGACGGUCUUAGGAUUGUAAACUCCUGUCAUCCGGGAGAAAGACUUGGGAGUUAAUAGCUCACAGGGUUGAUAGUACCGGAAGAGGAAGGGACGGCUAACUUCGGUGCCAGCAGCCGCGGUAAUACGAAGGUCCCAAGCGUUGUUCGGAAUCACUGGGCGUAAAGGGAGCGUAUGCGGCGCGGUAAGUCGGAUGUGAAAUCCCGAGGCUCAACCUCGGAACUGCAUCUGAUACUGCCGUGCUAMAGUAAUGGAGGGGUAGCUGGAAUUCUCGGUGUAGCAGUGAAAUGCGUAGAUAUCGAGAGGAACACUCGUGGCGAAAGCGAGCUACUGGACAUUUACUGACGCUGAGGCUCGAAGGCUAGGGGAGCGAAAGGGAUUAGAUACCCCUGUAGUCCUAGCAGUAAACGGUGCACGCUUGGUGUGAGGGGAUUCGACCCCCCUUGUGCCGGAGCUAACGCGUUAAGCGUGCCGCCUGGGAAGUACGGUCGCAAGACUAAAACUCAAAGAAAUUGACGGGGACCCGCACAAGCGGUGGAGUAUGUGGCUUAAUUCGAUGCAACGCGAAGAACCUUACCUAGGCUUGACAUGCAUCUCUAAGCACGUGAAAGCGUGUGACCCUUCGGGGGAUUUGCACAGGUGCUGCAUGGCCGUCGUCAGCUCGUGUCGUGAGAUGUUGGGUUAAGUCCCGCAACGAGCGCAACCCUUGUGAUUAGUUGCCAGCACGUAAUGGUGGGAACUCUAGUCAGACUGCCCAGAUCAACUGGGAGGAAGGUGGGGACGACGUCAGGUCAGUAUGGCCCUUACGCCUAGGGCUGCACACGUACUACAAUGCUCAGUACAAUUAGAACCGAUACCGCGAGGUGGAGGAAAUCUGUAAAACUGGGCUCAGUUCGGAUUGGAGGCUGCAACUCGCCUCCAUGAAGUUGGAAUCGCUAGUAAUCGCGUAUCAGAAUGACGCGGUGAAUACGUUCCCGGGCCUUGUACACACCGCCCGUCACACCAUGGGAGUGGGUUGCUCCAGAAGUGGAUAGUCUAACCUUCGGGAGGACGUUCACCACGGAGUGAUUCAUGACUGGGGUGAAGUCGUAACAAGGUAGCCCUAGGGGAACCUGGGGCUGGAUCACCUCCUUUCU
rnacentral:rRNA from 1 species